AUUGAACGCUGGCGGCAGGCUUAACACAUGCAAGUCGAACGAGUGGCGGACGGGUGAGUAAUGCUUGGGAAUCUGGCUGAUGGAGGGGGAUAACGACGGGAAACUGUCGCUAAUACCGCGCACCAUAGGAGGAGCCCAAGUGGGAUUAGGUAGUUGGUGGGGUAGUGGCCUACCAAGCAGACGAUCUCUAGCUGGGCUGAGAGGAUGACCAGCCACCCCGGGACUGAGGCACGGCCCGGACUCCUACGGGUGGCAGCAGUGGGGAAUAUUACGCAAUGGGGGCAACCUGACGCAGCCAGGCCGCGUGAAUGAAGAAGGCCUUUGGGUUGUAAAGUUCUUUCGGUGACGAGGCGUUAAUCACAGAAGAAGAACCGGCUAACUCCGUGCCAGCAGCCGCGGUAAUUC
rnacentral:rRNA from 1 species